ACUUGAUAGUCCCUGUGACGGUGCUAAGGGACCCGUAAGAGGUGAUCUCGUGAACAGGUUAAUGCUGUCGUCAGGGGAGAGGUCUCCGAUCAUAGUCAGCCCCGCUCUGCUCCGUGGCCCCACCCUUCUCCAGGCAAAGACUUAGGAUUUCCCAGCCUCCAGAGCCGUGGGCCACAUAAACAGUUUAUCCAGCCGCUGCGUUCUGUUGUUAUAGCAACAGAAAACAGACCCCGUCCCGCUCAGCGCAAACCUGAACUUGGCAUUUCCCUGCGUGGCUCUUUCCGGGCUCGUCUGCCCAGCUGGUUACUUAAUGAUGCGUGCGCCUAUUUGCCGAAGGACAGGCCUCACCUAUUUAUUUCUUUGUUGUCUUAAUCGUUAUUUAUGUCUCCUUUACACCAGACGGCUUCCGAGAAAGGCUGGGGCUUGUGAUGCCGAGGAAUCCCGGGAUGUUGCUCAGGUGGGCUGGCCGGUCGUCAUGAAUUCCCACGUUUGCCACGAGCACAGGAAAUGCAGAGUGACACAGUCACCUGAAGAGGCAGCUGCGGCUUCCACGUCCACAUCUGAUCCAGCUGUUUCUUAAAUGGAGAAUUAAAGGCAAAUGGAAGAUAUCAAGACGAAAGCAGAACCAACAACGAACGCCCCUCCCUGAAACUGUCACUCGAUGUAACCCUCCCGGGGCGAGGCCCGCCCGCCCGCCUCUGCUCAAGGGAAACUCAAGUCUGGACCUGUCACCUUCGCACAGGCAGCUCAGCUCUGUGGCCUGCAGGAGGCGUGGAAGAGAUUAUCCAUCUUCAUGGAUGUGAAGUGAUCCAUCAUUGAUCUGCAUUUCCCUAAUAGUUAGGAGUGUUACACACGUUCUCAUGUAUGUAUUGGCCUCUUGUACAUCUUCCUUGGAGAAAUGUUGAUCUGAUCCUUAGCCCACUUAUGAAUUUGGUUAUUACCUUUUGCUAUCAAUUUGUAAGAAUUCUUCAUUCUAAGUACAAGUCCCUUAUCAGGCACAUGAUUUACACACAUUUUUCUCCCAUUCUAUAGAUUAUCUUUCACUUUCUUGAUGUUAUGCUUUGAGGCACAAAAAUUUUAAAUUUUGAUGAAAUGCAAUUAAUUUUUUUCUUUUGUUGUUUGUUCUUUUGGUGUCAUAUUAAAACAGGUUUGUAAAAAUCUCAGGCCACGAAGAUUUCCCUCCAUGGUGUCUUUUAAGAAUUCCACAGCUUUGGGUUUGGGUCGUUCACCCACUUUGAGUUGGUUUUUAUAUAUGGUGUGAGGUAUGGUCAACUUCAUUCUUCUGCAUGUGGAUAUCCAGCUGACCAGCACCAUUUGUUGAAAAGACUGCCUCCCAGGGCUGGCACUGUGGCGCAGUGGGUUAAAACCCCAGCCUGUAACACCAGCAUCCCAUAUGGGCGCCGGUUCGAGUCCCGGCUGCUCCUCUUCUGAUCCAGCUCUCUGCUGUGGCCUGCGAAAGCAAUAGAAGAUGGCCAAAGUCCUUGGGCCCCUCCACCCGUGUGGGAGAUCUGUAAGAAACUCCCGGCUCCUGGCUUCAGAUCGGCACAGCUCUGGCCGUUGCAGCCAUCUGGGGAGUGAACCAGUGGAAUGGAAGACCUCUCUGUCUGGCUCUACCUGUCUCUGUAACUCUGUCUUUCAAAUAAAUAGAAUAAUUAUUAAAAAAAAAAAAAGACUGCCUCCCAGGGAUUAGCCUUGGCACCUUUGUGGGAAACACUUGUCCACAGAUGUAUGGGCUCAGUGCCGUCCCAUUGUGGGGUAGGCUGUGUGCUUGUCUUCAUUAACAUUCCUUUGCAGUAUGUUUUGAAAUCAGGAAGUGUGACUCUUUUUGUUACUCUCUUUUCCAGGAUUGUUUUGCUAUUUUGGGUUCCUCGAUAUUCCACAUGACUUCCCGUGUUGUGGCGUUGUGGGUAAAGCCAGCAUCCCAUUUGCGCCAGUUCGAGUCUCGGCUGCCCCACUUCUGAUCCAACUCCCUGCCAAUGCACCUGGGAAAGCGGGGGAAGAUGGCCUAAGUAUUUGGGCCCCUGCUUCCCACAUGGGAGACCCGGAUGAAACUCCUGGCUUCAGCCCAGCCCUGGCCAUUGCAGCCGAGUGAAUCAGCGGAUGGAGGAACUCUUUCUCUCCCUCUCCCUCUCCCUCUCUCUCUCUCUCUCUCUCUCUGUAAACUCUAAAAACGAAAAGAAAAUUAGCUUCUAAAUUUUCAUUUCUCAAAGACAUCAGGUCAGAUUCUGAUAGGCAUUGCACCGAAUCUGUAGGUCAGUGUUGGGUGCAUUAUAAUCUAUGAAUAUAGGACAUUUUCUGCUUGUUUAGCUAUCUUUAACAAUUCGUCUUUACAACUGUAUUUAAUAAUAUGCAGUGUGUACGUUUGCCAUUUUUUUGUUGUUUAUUUAUAAAUAUUUGAUUCUGUUUAAUGUUGGGAAUGGAAUUAUUUUACUUUUUUAGUAAAGAUUUUUUUAUUUGAAAGACAUUGCCAGACACACACACACACACACACACACACAUGCACACACAGCUCUGUUAACACAGCUGUAGUAACAGGCUCUGAGCUGGAGCAGCCGGGACUUGAACUUGCGUUCUGCUUAACACACUGCACCCCAGGGCCAGCCCUGGUGUCCUCUUCCGGAGCUGCAGGGCUAGUGUUCAGCUGUUUGUAACUUACAGCCAUGUUAGUUGCGAGCUUUUGUACAAGUUCCUUCUGAGAUUGAGUUAACUUUGUUCCUGGUUUGAGUGUUUUUUUUUUGCCUAUCAUAAAAAAGUGCUGGGGGCCAGCGCUGUGAUGCAGUAGGUUAAUCCUCCACCUGCUGCACCAGCAUCCCAUAUGGGCACCGGUUUGAGUCCAGGCUAUUUCUCUUCCAAUCUAGCUCUCUGCUGUGGCUCGGGAAAGCAGUAGAAGAUGUCCCAAGUCCUUGAGCCCCUGCGCCUGUGUGAGAGACCUGGAAGAAGCUCCUGGCUCCUGGCUUCGGAUUGGCGCAGCUCCGGCCAUUGUGGCCAAUUGGGGAGUGAACCAGCGGAUGGAAGACCUCUCUCUCUCUCUCUCCCUCUCACUGUCUAUAACUCUUCCUCUCAAAUAAAUAAAUAAAAUCUAAAAAAAGUGCUGAAUUUUGUUAAUACUUUCCCUACAUGUA